rnacentral:rRNA from 1 species
UACGGGGGGGGGCAAGCGUUGUUCGGAAUUACUGGGCGUAAAGGGCUCGUAGGCGGCCAACUAAGUCGGAUGUGAAAUCCCCCAAGCUUAACUUGGGAACUGCAUCCGAUACUGGAUGGCUUGAAUCCGGGAGAGGGAUGCAGAAUUCCAGGUGUAGCGGUGAAAUGCGUAGAUAUCUGGAGGAAUACCGGUGGCGAAGGCGGCAUCCUGGACCCGGCAUUGACGCUGAGGAGCGAAAAGCUAGGGGAGCAAACGGGG